AGCCUCCUGAAGUGUGCGCCAGGGCCCUGUUUUUACCCACAUUUCAUAAAACGGAGCCCGGGUUCGGCGUCGGAUGUCAUGCCCCCGUUCUUGUGAACGCCAGGGGACGGCAAAAGUCGUCGACAGGGCACCGGCCUGCUUAACAUAGCGGGUGAAAAAACGGGUACAGCGGCACUUUGGGUUCUCA
rnacentral:other from 1 species